GACGAACGCUGGCGGCGUGCUUAACACAUGCAAGUCGAACGAAGAGCGAUGGAAGCUUGCUUCUCUCAAUCUUAGUGGCGAACGGGUGAGUAACGCGUAAUCAACCUGCCCUUCAGAGGGGGACAACAGUUGGAAACGACUGCUAAUACCGCAUACGAUCCGACCUCGGCAUCGAGGAUGGAUGAAAGGUGGCCUCUAUUUAUAAGCUAUCACUGAAGGAGGGGAUUGCGUCUGAUUAGCUAGUUGGAGGGGUAACGGCCCACCAAGGCAAUGAUCAGUAGCCGGUCUGAGAGGAUGAACGGCCACAUUGGGACUGAGACACGGCCCAGACCCCUACGGGAGGCAGCAGUGGGGAAUCUUCCGCAAUGGACGAAAGUCUGACGGAGCAACGCCGCGUGAGUGAUGACGGCCUUCGGGUUGUAAAGCUCUGUUAAUCGGGACGAAAGGUCUUCUUGCGAAUAGGUAGAAGAAUUGACGGUACCGGAAUAGAAAGCCACGGCUAACUACGUG
rnacentral:rRNA from 1 species